GAUGAACGCUGGCGGCGUGCUUAACACAUGCAAGUCGAACGAAGCACUUUAAUCGAUUUCUUCGGAUUGAAAUUUUAGUGACUGAGUGGCGGACGGGCGAGUAACGCGUGGGUAACCUGCCUCACACAGGGGGAUAACAGUUGGAAACGGCUGCUAAUACCGCAUAAGCGCACAGUACCGCAUGGUACGGUGUGAAAAACUCCGGGGGUGUGAGAUGGACCCGCGUCUGAUUAGCUAUUUGGCAGGGCAGCGGCCUACCAAGGCGACGAUCAGUAGCCGACCGGGGAGGGUGACCGGGCACAUUGGGACGGAGACAAGGGCGAAAAUCCUACGGGAGGGAGCAGUGGGGAAGAUUGAACAAUGGGGGAAACCCUGAUGCAGCGACGCCGCGUGGGCGAAGAAGUAUUUCGGUAUGUAAAGCUCUAUCAGCAGGGAAGAAGAAAUGACGGUACCUGACUAAGAAGCACCGGCUAAAUACGUGCCAGCAGCCGCCGUAA
rnacentral:rRNA from 1 species